CAAAAAAUAUCUUAUUUUCAAAUGCUGAUAAGGUUUAAUUUGCUCCUGCAGGUUUCAUAGACUUCAUAGUGGAUCCUACCUUCUCCCUGCUGACGGACAUGGCUGAAAAAAUAGUUAUUCCUUUGGUGGAAGAGAACCCAGGCCCUCCAGACCCCUGCAAUAGACACAGUAAUUUGUGGAAGGAAAGCUCCAGGGGUCUGCAGUGGAGUCUGGCUCACAUCACAGCCGAGCUGGUGAGCUUCCGCUCCACUUGGACGCGACACACUGAGGACAACAAGGUGAAAUGGAAGGAAAGUGGCUCCAACGGAUUCUCAGAUCCCAGUGUGACGAAAGAGCAAAGAUCCAGACAAGAGGAGCUGUCAGAAAAAUGCCUGCAACCCCCCACUAAUGAUACAAAACAGUAGAGACAGCCUAUGUUGUAAGAUGUGGUUUUUCACAGUGAAUAUGCAACGAUUAACUGAGGUUAAUAUUGAAUCACUUCAGGAAGAACAUGAUGUGCUCUUACAUCAUAAUUGUGGGGGCCAGGUGAACGCAGCAGUGAUGGAGGGGGAAAAAGGGGCAGUUUGAGUUCCAGUAGGCAUAGCAAUGUCCUCAUGUCUUAUAUGAAGUAUAGAAAAUACAUUAAUAAUUUAAAUUCAAAGUCUACAUGCUGGCCAUGUGAUGGUACAUGUCAUUAAUUUAAUUUACCACCAAAACACUUGUAAGAAACACGUUUUUGUAGUUUUACCUGUACACCAAUUAUUUAACCAUGCAUUAAACUUUGAAAAAUAUUUAAAUGCAUGUCAUGUAUGAGAUCACAGUAGUAGGAAUUCCCAAUAAGGCUGGCCUUAUUAUAAUAGGAUAUGAUGUUUUGUCAUUAUUAAAAUGUAUGGAAGUUUCAACUGCAUGCUGUACCAAGGAAAGGUUCUAGUACCACUAAAUUUUAUAUUCAUUUAUAAUCUGUGUUAUUGCUCACCAAACAAAUGAAUCACAGAUGCCUGCGUUGUAUUCUUCUUAGCCUAGGAGUUUGAAGCAUGAACACAUAGGAAGUGUUUAUGACAGAUCGAGGUGCACAGCUUAUUCUGCAGACCAGGAAAUCAGUGCAUAAGCUACUGAGGUCAUACUGAAUGAUGUGCCACAUUUUUUUCACCCCAGUCUAAUUUAAUAGUCUUUUGGGAAACGGCUUAAAGUGGUUUGAAAAUUGAUGUUUGAUAACUUCCACAAGAAAUAAUGCCAAUCAAAAAUGAGGUUCAAAUGUGGACGCCAGGCAAGAAAGGGGAUUUGCUUGGUUUUUCUGAUAACCUUUGAUACUUGUUACCUUGCCUUGGUCUUGUAACAGGCAGUGCUUGUCCAUCAGAGGCCAUGCGUCUUGUUAAAGUGCACUUGAGAAAGACACUGGACCUAUGCCUGCUUGUUGUAUGUGAGUUGCUCUGGGUUAAACCAUCAAAUAAAUGGCUGAUAUGUGAAUUGAAUAUUCA
rnacentral:lncRNA from 1 species